GUGCACCAGGCGCGAAAACUUCACAAUGUGCGAAAGCACGAUGAGGGAAUCCCAAGUGCUUGCUCGUAAGAGUAAGCUGUUUCUCUGUCUAAAACGCAGAGAGAGUAAGGGCUGGGUAAGACGGGUGCCAGCCGCCGCGGUAAUACCUGCAGCUCGAGUGGUGGCCGCUAUUAUUGGGCCUAGAACGUCCGUAGCCGGUUUAUUAAAUGCCUGGGUAAAUCGGACCGCUUAACGGUUCGAAUUCCGGGUAGACUGAUAAACUUGAGACCGGGAGAAGCUAGAGGUACUCCUGGGGUAGAGGUGAAAUUCUGUAAUCCUAGGGGGACCACCAGUGGCGAAGGCGUCUAGCUAGAACGGGUCUGACGGUGAGGGACGAAGCCCU
rnacentral:rRNA from 1 species